GCCGGGUUAGCACAGUGGUAGUGCAGCUGAUUUGUAAUCAGAAGGUCGGGGGUUCAAAUCCCUCACCCGGCACCA
rnacentral:tRNA from 9 species